rnacentral:rRNA from 1 species
ACCUGGUUGAUUCUGCCAGUAGUCAUAUGCUUGUCUCAAAGAUUAAGCCAUGCAUGUCUAAGUAUAAGCAAUUAUACCGUGAAACUGCGAAUGGCUCAUUAAAUCAGUUAUCGUUUAUUUGAUAAUACCUUACUACUUGGAUAACCGUGGUAAUUCUAGAGCUAAUACAUGCUGAAAAUCCCGACUUCGGAAGGGAUGUGUUUAUUAGAUAAAAAACCAAUGCCCUUCGGGGCUCCUUGGUGAUUCAUAAUAACUUUACGGAUCGCAUAGCCUUGCGCUGGCGACGGUUCAUUCAAAUUUCUGCCCUAUCAACUUUCGAUGGUAAGGUAUUGGCUUACCAUGGUUUCAACGGGUAACGGGGAAUUAGGGUUCGAUUCCGGAGAGGGAGCCUGAGAAACGGCUACCACAUCCAAGGAAGGCAGCAGGCGCGCAAAUUACCCAAUCCCGAUUCGGGGAGGUAGUGACAAUAAAUACUGAUACAGGGCUCUUUUGGGUCUUGUAAUUGGAAUGAGUACAAUUUAAACCUCUUAACGAGGAACAAUUGGAGGGCAAGUCUGGUGCCAGCAGCCGCGGUAAUUCCAGCUCCAAUAGCGUAUAUUAAAGUUGUUGCAGUUAAAAAGCUCGUAGUUGAAACUUGGGUCUGGCUGGCGGGUCCGCCUCACCGCGUGCACUCGUCCGGCCGGGCCUUCCUUCUGAAGAACCUCAUGCCCUUUACUGGGCGUGUUGGGGAAUCAGGACUUUUACUUUGAAAAAAUUAGAGUGUUCAAAGCAGGCCUUUGCUCGAAUACGUUAGCAUGGAAUAAUAAAAUAGGGCGUGCGUUUCUAUUUUGUUGGUUUCUAGAGACGCCGCAAUGAUUAACAGGAACAGUCGGGGGCAUCAGUAUUCAGUUGUCAGAGGUGAAAUUCUUGGAUUUACUGAAGACUAACUACUGCGAAAGCAUUUGCCAAGGAUGUUUUCAUUAAUCAGUGAACGAAAGUUAGGGGAUCGAAGACGAUCAGAUACCGUCGUAGUCUUAACCGUAAACUAUGCCGACUAGGGAUCGGGCGAUGUUCUUUUUCUGACUCGCUCGGCACCUUACGAGAAAUCAAAGUUUUUGGGUUCUGGGGGGAUUAUGGUCGCAAGGCUGAAACUUAAAGAAAUUGACGGAAGGUCACCACCAGGCGUGGAGCCUGCGGCUUAAUUUGACUCAACACGGGGAAACUCACCAGGUUCAGAUGAAAUAAGGAUUGACAGAUUGAGAGCUCUUUCUUGAUUUUUCAGGUGGUGGUGCAUGGCCGUUCUUAGUUCGUGGGGUGACUUGUCUGCUUAAUUGCGAUAACGAGCGAGACCUUACUCUGCUAAAUAGCCAGGCUAGCUUUGGCUGGUCGCCGGCUUCUUAGAGAGACUAUCAACUCAAGUUGAUGGAAGUUUGAGGCAAUAACAGGUCUGUGAUGCCCUUAGAUAUUCUGGGCCGCACGCGCGCUACACUGACAGAGCCAACGAGUUCUUUCCCUUGGCCGAAAGGUCUGGGUAAUCUUGUUAAACUCUGUCGUGCUGGGGAUAAAGCAUUGCAAUUAUUGCUUUUCAACGAGGAAUGCCUAGUAAGCGCGUGUCAUCAGCAUGCGUUGAUUACGUCCCUGACCUUUGUACACACCGCCCGUCGCUACUACCGAUUGAAUGGCUCAGUGAGGCCUUCGGACUGGCUCGGGGAGGUUGGCAACGACCACCCAAGCCGGAAAGUUGGUCAAACUCGGUCAUUUAGAGGAAGUAAAAGUCGUAACAAGGUCUCCGUAGGUGAACCUGCGGAGGGAUCAUUA